rnacentral:rRNA from 1 species
AGCGAACGCUGGCGGCAGGCCUAACACAUGCAAGUCGAACGAACCCUUCGGGGUUAGUGGCGGACGGGUGAGUAACACGUGGGAACGUACCCUUAGGUUCGGAAUAACUCAGGGAAACUUGAGCUAAUACCGAAUGUGCCCUUCGGGGGAAAGAUUUAUCGCCUUUGGAGCGGCCCGCGUCUGAUUAGCUAGUUGGUGAGGUAAAGGCUCACCAAGGCUACGAUCAGUAGCUGGUCUGAGAGGAUGGCCAGCCACACUGGGACUGAGACACGGCCCAGACUCCUACGGGAGGCAGCAGUGGGGAAUCUUGCGCAAUGGGCGAAGGCCUGACGCAGCCAUGCCGCGUGGAUGAUGAAGGUCUUAGGAUUGUAAAAUCCUUUCACCGGUGAAGAUAAUGACUGUAGCCGGAGAAGAAGCCCCGGCUAACUUCGUGCCAGCAGCCGCCGCCGUAA